UGGGGUGUAGCCAAGCGGUAAGGCACCGGUUUUUGGUAUCGGCAUGCGGAGGUUCGAAUCCUCCCACCCCAA
rnacentral:tRNA from 3 species